GAUAGCUGUAGCGUUGUUUUUCCUGUUUCCUUUAUUUCAGUCAAGUUCAGUUAGGCAUGAGCCGCGCCUGUGCGUGCCGUGCAUGUAGGGCUAGGACCCGGUCUUGGUGCUCGUGGGAUGGCACGAGCGUGAGCCAGAUCGUGGCGCCGAGGUAGGAUCUCUACCGGCCCCCGUUUUUUCUCUGUAACAGAAUAAGAAGCGAAUGAGAAUACACAGAAAAGGUGGCAAGGCUUACGCGACGCAAAACCCAGUGUUCAUCUCUAUCAGAGUGAGUUCGUGAGAAAGAGAGGGGAUUCCUGACAAUUGGCAUCAGAGCCUCCUUCAAUCCAAGGCGACCAUGUCCAACGGCGGCGCACGCACGCCGUCGACGCCACCCGAUGGACCGGGCGGAGGACGCAGUACUGCAGACGACACGGACGGGGCUGCGGAGCGGCCACGCGGGCGGAGCCGUGGCCGCAGCGUCGUCAGGCGCGGCGGCAACGAGGUCAUCAUCCACGAGCGCGUGGUGCAGGAUCGCUCGAACUACGGCAGCAACAUCGUCUACCCCACGCUGACGGCGACGAACUACAUCGAGUGGGCCCUCGUCAUGAAAAUCAACCUGCGGGCGCAGGGUCUCUGGGAGGUUGUGUCCGGCAUGGGCGAGCCGGGCGAUCGUGAAGACAUGGCGGCACUCUCGGCACUAAUCCGGGCAGCGCCGGCUGAGAUGACGCCGGUGCUCGCCGUCAAGGACACUGCGCACGAGGCGUGGGAGGCGAUCCGCAUGAUGCGCGUGGGCGUGAACCGCGUGCGGGAGGCGACGGCGCAGCGGCUGCGCAAGGAGUUCGAGCAGAUCGCUUUCAAGGAGGGUGAGUCACUCGACGCUUUCGGCAUGCGUAUUAUGGGCAUCGUCAACAACCUCCGCUCGCUCGGCGACACGGUCGACGAGAUCAAGGUGGUGCAGAAGUUUCUGCGCGAGGUACCUGCGCAGUACGCCCAGAUCACGUGCUCGAUUGAGACGCUGCUCGACCUCAACGGCAUGUCAGUGGAGGAGCUGAUCGGGCGACUCCGAUCGGCCACGGAGCGCUGCUUCAUCACCACUCCGAACCACGGCGGCGAGCUCUACCUCACAGAGCAGGAGUGGCUCGCGCGCGCCAGACAAAGGGAGAAGGGGCAGGGCUCCAAUUCCGGCGGCGGCAAGCACAAGGGCAAGCAGCAGCAGGGCACUGGGCGUGGAGGCGAGCAGAACAAGCGGGAGUCCGGGGGUGGUCGCGACAUGUCCAAGGUAAAAUGUUACAACUGUAACAAGUACGCGAAUCACUUCUCCAGGGACUGCCCCGAGCCUCGCCGUGAGCGCAAGGAACGCGUCAAUCUGGUGCAAACUGAGGAUGAGCCGAAGGAGUCCGCGCUCUUCCUCGCCAGCAUCUGCGCGCUCUCCAUCACUGAGGGCGCCAACGAACAAGUUCUGCUGAGCGAGGAGCGCUCCCAGGCACGCAUCGCUGCAGAAGGGGAGGACUGCGACACGUCCUGGUUCCUGGACACGGGAGCCAGCAACCACAUGUCCGGACGCAGGGACAUCUUCUCCGACCUCGACACCGGCGUGCACGGCUCGGUCAAGCUGGGCGACGGCUCGGCGGUGCAAAUCGAAGGGAGGGGAACGAUCCUCUUCGAGAGCCGCACGGGAGAGCACCUCGUUCUGUCAGAGGUCUACUUCAUCCCGAGGCUGCAGAGCAACAUCAUCAGCGUCGGCCAACUGGACGAGAACGACUAUGACACCCGCAUCAACCACGGCGUCCUGGAGCUGCGAGACCCGGACGGGCGGCUGAUCGCGCGAGCUCCGCGCACACAGGGGCGUCUGUACGUUCUGCGCCUGAACCUGGCGCGCCCGGUGUGUCUGGCGGUGCACGGCGGCGAGGACGCGUGGCGGUGGCACGCACGAUACGGCCACAUAGGCUUCCAGGCCCUGCGACGCCUCGCCCGCGAGGAAAUGGUGCGUGGCCUGCCUCCUAUCAACGAGGUGGACCGCGUGUGCGAGGCGUGUCUCGCCGGCAAGCAGCGACGCGCGUCGUUCCCGCACCAGGCACUGAACCGUGCGGAGACGGUGCUUGAGCUGGUGCAUGCGGAUAUCUGCGGCCCAAUCUCUCCCCCUACGCCGGGGGGGAAACGCUACUUCCUGCUACUGGUUGAUGACAAGAGCAGGUUCAUGUGGCUGCGGCUCCUCGCGACCAAGAACGAAGCAGAAACUGUACUGAAGCAGUUCCAGGCAGCCAUAGAGCUUGAGUCUGGGCGCCGUCUGAAGGCGCUGCGCACGGACCGCGGAGGCGAGUUCACCUCCACCAGCCUCGGGAAGUACUUCGCGGAUCAGGGGGUGAAGAGACAACUUACGGCUCCUUACUCGCCCCAGCAAAACGGCGUGGUCGAGCGGCGAAAUCAGACCGUCGUCGGCAUGGCGCGCACUCUCUUAAAGGCGAAGGGUGUCCCUGGGCAUUUUUGGGGAGAGGCAGUCACCACGGCUGUUUACCUGCUCAACCGCUCCACGACCAAGAGCGUGGCGAAGAUGACGCCGUACAAAGCAUGGUGCGGCAAGCGACCUGCCGUCCAUCAUCUUCGGGCGUUCGGGUGUAUCGCCCACGUCAAGACAACGCGCCCAAAUGCAAAGAAACUGGACGACAGGAGCCAACCGAUGGUGCUGCUCGGGUAUGAACCUGGCACCGCGGCGUACCGGGUGUAUCAUCCGGCGACAGGGAAGGUGCACGUCUCCAGAGAUAUCAUCUUCGACGAGCAGGCCGCUUGGGCCUGGAGCAAGCCCGAGGGAGCAGAAGAGCCAGCGCCUGUUCAGGGCUCGUUCGUCAUCGAGGAGGCGUACUGGCCAGCGGUCACCACGGACACUUUCGACGCGGUGCCCACGACGCCGAUGCCGUCCGCGUCACCCCGUACGGCUGCUGCAACGCCCACGCCCUCGAGCAUGGAAACGACACCGACACCCCAGUCCACUGAGCAGGGCUGGGAGACGAGCGCUGGACAGGCUGCAGCGGUCAACGUGCAUCCUAUGCGCACCCGCGCCAAGGAGGGCAUAGUGCAGCCGAACACGCAGCUGGCUGACUACGUCCUGUUUGCCAAGGAAGAAGUGCAGCACUCCUGUCUGCUAGCUGCAGAAGAACCAGCGUCGUACGACGAGGCCAAAUCUGUGAAGGGGUGGUGCGACGCCAUGGAAGAGGAGAUGCGGAGCAUCGUCGACAACCGCACCUGGGAGCUAUGCCAGCUCCCGCCUGGGCACCGCGCCAUCGGCCUAAAGUGGGUGUACAAACUGAAGAAGGACGCCCAAGGCGCCGUGGUCAAGCACAAGGCGAGGUUGGUUGCAAAGGGAUAUGUCCAGCGGCAAGGGAUCGACUAUGAAGAAGUGUUCGCGCCGGUCGCCCGGAUGGACUCUGUGCGCUUGCUGAUCGCCCUCGCCGCACACCACGACUGGCAGGUGCACCACAUGGACGUGAAGUCUGCGUUCUUGAACGGCGACCUGCUCGAGGAGGUAUAUGUGCAGCAACCGCCGGGAUACGUGCAGACCGGAGAAGAAGGCAAGGUGUUGCGCCUCCGCAAGGCCCUGUACGGUCUGCACCAAGCUCCGAGGGCGUGGAACGCGAAGCUGGAUGACAGUCUGAUCACUCUCGGCUUCGAGCGCUGUCCGUCAGAGCACGCCGUGUACCGGCGGGGCACAGGAAGUUCACUGCUGCUCGUCGGGGUUUAUGUGGAUGAUCUCAUCAUCACAGGCGUGAGCAUGAAUGAGAUCACAAGUUUCAAACAGCAGAUGACCAAGCUCUUCCGCAUGAGUGACCUGGGCAAGCUCAGCUUCUACCUUGGCAUUGAGAUACACCAGGAGCGUGACCAGAUCACACUCUGUCAGACAGCAUAUGCCAAGCGACUGUUGGAGCGGGCUGGGCUGGCAGACUGCAACUCCCUCAGCACACCAAUUCAACCAAGACUGAAGCUGAGCAAGGAUGGCGUCGGGGAUGCAGUGGACGUCACGUACUACCGGAGCAUCAUCGGAGGCUUGCGGUACCUGACGCACACAAGGCCUGACAUAAGUUUCGCAGUGGGAUAUCUGAGCAGGUUCAUGGAGGCCCCUGCUGCAGAUCACUAUGCUGCGGUGAAGAACCUGCUGCGCUAUAUAGCAGGAACACUGGAGUAUGGAUGCGAGUUCAGGCGCGGGAAUGGCGAGCCGAAGCUGAUAGGUUUCAGUGAUGCAGAUCAUGCCGGGGAUAUAGUUGAUCGGAAGAGCACGACGGGCACCAUCUUCUUCCUCGGUGAGAGCCCUGUAAGCUGGCAGUCGCAGAAGCAACGAGUGGUGGCCCUCUCUUCGUGUGAGGCUGAGUAUGUUGCAGCCACCACUGCUGCCUGUCAAGGAAUUUGGCUGGCACGUCUACUUGGAGAGAUGUUGAACAAGGAGACUGUGCCGCCAAAACUGUUCGUUGAUAACAAAUCAGCGAUCUCUUUGUCGAAGAACCCUGUCUUCCAUGAGCGGAGCAAGCACAUCGACAUUCGGUACCACUUCAUUCGGGAGUGCGUGGAGGAAGGAAAGAUCGACAUCGACUACGUUCGAACCAAUGAUCAACUUGCUGAUACUCUGACCAAGGGACUUGGGCGUUUGGCGUUCCAGGAGCUAAGGAGGAGGAUCGGCAUGACUGAUGUCUUUAGGAAAUAAAACCACCACGACGAGAUUAGGGGGUGAUUUGUUGGCAACUUAAUCUAGUCGUUGAUAGCUGUAGCGUUGUUUUUCCUGUUUCCUUUAUUUCAGUCAAGUUCAGUUAGGCAUGAGCCGCGCCUGUGCGUGCCGUGCAUGUAGGGCUAGGACCCGGUCUUGGUGCUCGUGGGAUGGCACGAGCGUGAGCCAGAUCGUGGCGCCGAGGUAGGAUCUCUACCGGCCCCCUUUUUUCUCUGUAACAGAAUAAGAAGCGAAUGAGAAUACACAGAAAAGGUGGCAAGGCUUACGCGACGCAAAACCCAGUGUUCGUCUCUAUCAGAGUGAGUUCGUGAGAAAGAGAGGGGAUUCCUGACAAAGAGCACCCUUGCCAGAAUUUUCUUCAAUCUCAUCCGAACAGCAAAUAAGC
rnacentral:lncRNA from 1 species